GUUGUUGCAGUUAAAAGCUCGUAGUUGAAUUUUGGGGCGGCCGCGGAGGUCCACUUCUUUGUGAGUACUUUUUGCGGCGGCCCUUCCAUGGCCCUUAAUCGGGCCAUAGUUACUUUGAGUAAAUGAGAGUGUUCAAAGCAGGCAAGCGCUUGAAUCUUUUAGCAUGGAAUAAUAAAAUAGGACGAUGAUUCUAUUUUGUUGGUUUCUAGGACCAUCGUAAUGAUUAAUAGGGACGGUCGGGGGCAUUAGUAUUCAGUUGUAAGAGGUGAAAUUCUUAGAUUUUCUGAAGACUAACUACUGCGAAAGCAUUUGUCAAGGACGUUUUCAUUAAUCAAGAACGAAAGUUAGGGGAUCGAAGAUGAUCAGAUACCGUCGUAGUCUUAACCAUAAACUAUGCCGACUAGGGAUUGGGCGACGCCUCAUGUACAUGACGCGCCCAGCACCUUACGAGAAAUCAAAGUUUUUGGGUUCUGGGGGGAGUAUGGUCGCAAGGCUGAAACUUAAAGGAAUUGACGGAAGGGCACCACCAGGAGUGGAGCCUGCGGCUUAAUUUGACUCAACACGGGGAAACUCACCAGGUCCAGACACAAUAAGGAUUGACAGAUUGAGAGCUCUUUCUUGAUUUUGUGGGUGGUGGUGCAUGGCCGUUCUUAGUUGGUGGAGUGAUUUGUCUGCUUAAUUGCGAUAACGAACGAGACCUUAGCUUUUAUUUGCCCGGCCUAACCUUGUGUUGGGUGCGGGCCAUAAAAGGACUAUCGAAUCCAAGUCGAUGGAAGUUUGAGGCAAUAACAGGUCUGUGAUGCCCUUAGACGUUCUGGGCCGCACGCGCGCUACACUGACGGAGCCAGCGAGUUUGCCUUAGCCGAGAGGUUUGGGAAAUCUUGAGAAACUCCGUCGUGCUGGGGAUAGAGCAUUGUAAUUUUUGCUCUUCAACGAGGAAUUCCUAGUAAGCGCAAGUCAUCAGCUUGCGUUGAUUACGUCCCUGCCCUUUGUACACACCGCCCGUC
rnacentral:rRNA from 1 species